UGAGGAAUAUUGGUCAAUGGGCGCAAGCCUGAACCAGCCAUGCCGCGUGCAGGAAGAAUGUCCUAUGGAUUGUAAACUGCUUUUAUUUGGGAAUAAACCUUCGAACGUGUUCGAAGCUGAAGGUACCAAAUGAAUAAGCACCGGCUAACUCCGUGCCAGCAGCCGCGGUAAUACGGAGGGUGCAAGCGUUAUCCGGAAUCAUUGGGUUUAAAGGGUCCGCAGGCGGGCAUAUAAGUCAGUGGUGAAAGCCUACAGCUCAACUGUAGAACUGCCAUUGAUACUGUAAGUCUUGAAUUCGGUCGAAGUGGGCGGAAUGUGUAGUGUAGCGGUGAAAUGCAUAGAUAUUACACAGAACACCGAUAGCGAAGGCAGCUCACUAGGCCUGGAUUGACGCUCAGGGACGAAAGCGUGGGGAUCAAACAGG
rnacentral:rRNA from 1 species